AUGGUGGCCCCUAAUUCCACUUUUAAAGAGCUAGAACAUAACCUCUCUCCAAGAACAACCAGCAUGCUACGAAACACUGAAAGGGCUCAGGGGAUCACAACAUACAGUCGGAACUUCACAGGAAGAGGUCCUAUGAAUCCCCUUAUACUGCAUGACUAUUACAUGAAAGCAGUUGGCAGACUAACUGGAGAACUAGGUACAGAUGUGGAAUUUGGAUGGAGCAGAAUUAUUUUUUCUUUUCCAAAGCAUAAAGACCAACUCUAAUCUCUCUAUAUGGCAGGGCAGUAAUGACUGUCUGGACUGAUUCCCUUUGCCAGCCUGUUUUGCAUACUAUCAGAGUGAAGUAGUAGCCAAGAGUGACAAAGUUCUCAUAGCUGGCACAGUACUCCAAGUUCCUAGGAAUGAUGCUUCCCUCGUUUUCCACAAUGUGAGGCAGUAAAGAUAGACACAUAACUGAGUAAAUUUCACUAGUCCCAGAAAAUGGUUACACCAAUCCCUGCUAAAAUAAGAGACUUAAAUUACACUGUUAAUUCUGUUCCUUCCUCCAUUAGAAAGAAACAUUUCUCUCUAGUCUCUCACAAGUGAGACCUCUUGAAGGGCGCACUGCACGUUUACUUCAAGGCCGACGUCCCCACGAAUCUACUCUGCAAGAACAGUGCUCCUGCCAGGAGCAGGCCCAGCUGCCUCGCCUGUGUUACCAGAAAGAUCAUUGUCUGGAUACAGGGCUGCCAAUAAACGAAUUUCAGAAAAUCGCUGACA
rnacentral:lncRNA from 1 species